UACGUAGGGUGCAAGCGUUGUCCGGAAUUACUGGGUGUAAAGGGUGCGCAGGCGGACUUAUAAGUCAGUGGUGAAAUCUCACAGCUUAACUGUGAAACUGCCUUUGAUACUGUAGGUCUUGAAUUAGGGAGAGAUUCGUGGAAUUCCGAGUGUAGCAGUGAAAUGUGUAGAUAUUCGGAAGAACACCAGAGGCGAAGGCAGCGAAUUGGCCCUAUAUUGACGCUCAGGCACGAAAGCAUGGGGAUCAAACAGG
rnacentral:rRNA from 1 species